UUAUGAGUCCUAGUUGUCUAAUAAACAACUUUUGUGAAAGAAAUUGCAUGAAAACACCUUAAAAAGGGCUAGAUUGCUAAGUUGUAAAAUGAGUUGUAAAUGUGUGAAAUAGUUGAAAUUAUGAGUUGCUAUAGUUAUGAAAAUGGUUCAUCUAGACUCAAGGAGUAAAGAAAUGUGAUAAAAAUUAUUUUACGAGCCUAGGGGUAAUUUGGUAAUUUUGGCAAAAUAUAGGGGCAAAAUUGUAAAAAUUGCCCAAGUGUGUCAAUGGACUAAUUUGAUCAGUACAUUGUUUUAAUAAGUUGAAUGUGAUAUUUUAGAUGAUGAAAAUCGAGAUUUGGACCUAGAACGGAAAGAAAUUGAUUAAGGGAUAAUUACGUUUUUUUUUCACCUUUGUGGUAUCGAGAGUUUCCAGGUUACCUCGGGUUGGAGGCCGUCAGAGAUAUUAUCACACUGUCAAGCUAACGCUAUUGGUGUAGUGAUUUCAAGUACUUUGAGCCUAUGUCAUGUAUAGGAGUUUAAAUAUUAGAGUAUGUGAUAUGGCUUUAACCAUAUGUGUUGGCCUAUUUUGAUUAUGGGGUUGUAAAUCUAUUUUAAUUAUGCAUGCAUGUGCUAUGGUAUUAUGUGAUGAGUUUAUAAUGAUUAUAGUAUGAACGUGGUAAA